AACGAACGCUGGCGGCAUGCCUAACACAUGCAAGUCGAACGAGAUCUUCGGAUCUAGUGGCGCACGGGUGCGUAACGCGUGGGAAUCUGCCCCUUGCUUCGGAAUAACAGUGAGAAAUUACUGCUAAUACCGGAUGAUGUCUUCGGACCAAAGAUUUAUCGGCAAGGGAUGAGCCCGCGUAGGAUUAGGUAGUUGGUGGGGUAAUGGCCUACCAAGCCGACGAUCCUUAGCUGGUCUGAGAGGAUGAUCAGCCACACUGGGACUGAGACACGGCCCAGACUCCUGCGGGAGGCAGCAGUGGGGAAUAUUGGACAAUGGGCGAAAGCCUGAUCCAGCAAUGCCGCGUGAGUGAUGAAGGCCUUAGGGUUGUAAAGCUCUUUUACCAGGGAUGAUAAUGACAGUACCUGGAGAAUAAGCUCCGGCUAACUCCGUG
rnacentral:rRNA from 1 species